CCUACGGGCGGCAGCAGUAAGGAAUCUUCCGCAAUGGGCGAAAGCCUGACGGAGCAACGCCGCGUGGGCGAUGAAGGCCUUCGGGUCGUAAAGCCCUUUUCUGUGGGACGAUAAUGACGGUACCACAGGAAUAAGCCACGGCUAACUCCGUGCCAGCAGCCGCGGUAAUACGGAGGGUGCGAGCGUUGCUCGGAAUCACUGGGCGUAAAGCGCGUGUAGGCGGUCAGGCAAGUCAGAUGUGAAAGCCCCUGGCUUAACCAGGGAAGUGCAUUUGAAACUGCUGGGCUGGAGUACGGGAGAAGAGAGUGGAAUUCCCGGUGUAGAGGUAAAAUUCGUAGAUAUCGGGAGGAACACCGGUGGCGAAGGCGGCUCUCGGGCCCGAUACUGACGCUG
rnacentral:rRNA from 1 species